rnacentral:rRNA from 1 species
GACGAACGCUGGCGGCGUGCUUAACACAUGCAAGUCGAACGAUGAACCCGGAGCUUGCUCAGGCGGAUUAGUGGCGAACGGGUGAGUAACACGUGAGUAACCUGCCCUUGACUCUGGGAUAAAUGCUAGAAAUGGUAGCUAAUACCGGAUAUGACCCUGGGUGGCAUCACCAGGGGGUGGAAAGAAUUUCGGUCAAGGAUGGACUCGCGGCCUAUCAGCUAGUUGGUGAGGUAACGGCUCACCAAGGGGACGACGGGUAGCCGGCCCGAGAGGGUGACCGGCCAGACUGGGACUGAGACACGGCGCAGACUCCUACGGGAGGCAGAAGGGGGGAAUAUUGCACAAAGGGCGCAAGCCUGAUGCAGCAACGCCGCGUGAGGGAUGACGGCCUUCGGGUUGUAAACCUCUUUUAGUAGGGAAGAAGCGAAAGUGACGGUACCUGCAGAAAAAGCACCGGCUAACUACGUGCCAGCCGCCGCAGUAA